rnacentral:rRNA from 1 species
GACGUAGGGCGCGAGCGUUGUCCGGAUUUAUUGGGCGUAAAGAGCUCGUAGGCGGCUUGUCGCGUCGACUGUGAAAUCCCGCGGCUCAACCGCGGGUCUGCAGUCGAUACGGGCAGGCUAGAGUUCGGUAGGGGAGACUGGAAUUCCUGGUGUAGCGGUGAAAUGCGCAGAUAUCAGGAGGAACACCGAUGGCGAAGGCGGUCUGCUGGGCCAAGACUGACGCUGAGGCGCGACAGCGUGGGGAGCAAACAGG